rnacentral:rRNA from 1 species
CAGCAGCCGCGGGAAUACGAAGGGGGCUAGCGUUGCUCGGAAUGACUGGGAGUAAAGGGCGCGUAGGCGGCGGCCAAAGUCAGGCGUGAAAUUCCCGGGCUCAACCUGGGGGCUGCGUUUGAUACUUGGUUGCUUGAGUGGGGAAGAGGGUCGUGGAAUCCCCAGUGUAGAGGUGAAAUUCGUAGAUAUUGGGAAGAACACCGGUGGCGAAGGCGGCGACCUGGUCCUUUACUGACGCUGAGGCGCAAAAGCGUGGGGAGCAAACAGGAUUAGAUACCCCUGUAGUCCCUGUCUCUUAUAC